rnacentral:rRNA from 1 species
UAGGGAAUCUUCGGCAAUGGGGGCAACCCUGACCGAGCAACGCCGCGUGAGUGAAGAAGGUUUUCGGAUCGUAAAGCUCUGUUGUAAGUCAAGAGCGAGUGUGAGAGUGGAAAGUUCACACUGUGACGGUAGCUUACCAGAAAGGGACGGCUAACUACGUGCCAGCAGCCGCGGUAAUACGUAGGUCCCGAGCGUUGUCCGGAUUUAUUGGGCGUAAAGCGAGCGCAGGCGGUUUGAUAAGUCUGAAGUUAAAGGCUGUGGCUCAACCAUAGUUCGCUUUGGAAACUGUCAAACUUGAGUGCAGAAGGGGAGAGUGGAAUUCCAUGUGUAGCGGUGAAAUGCGUAGAUAUAUGGAGGAACACCGGUGGCGAAAGCGGCUCUCUGGUCUGUAACUGACGCUGAGGCUCGAAAGCGUGGGGAGCGAACAGGAUUAGAUACCCUGGUAGUCCACGCCGUAAACGAUGAGUGCUAGGUGUUGGAUCCUUUCCGGGAUUCAGUGCCGCAGCUAACGCAUUAAGCACUCCGCCUGGGGAGUACGACCGCAAGGUUG